rnacentral:lncRNA from 11 species
ACAGGUUGAGAAUCACUGCCCUAGACAGUGUUGGGAAACUCAGGUUCUCUCGGAUAUAGUUUGAAAACCAAUGACCUACACUGGGUUGUCACCUUCCAUUUCUCAUCAUCCAUAACCAGCAGAGUCUAUGCCAAGAUGGACGGUGGGGAAAAGAUUGCCAACUGACUGGAACACAG